AGAAGACACUCAGUAGAUUCAGUAAAGAUGUUGAAGAGGAUAACACUGAAGAGAAGAAAAAAUCAGAUACAGGAAAGAAGGGAUUGAAGCAGGAGAAAAGAAAGUCAGAGGACUCAGACAGACCUUCAAAAAAGAGUUGUAAAUAUGGUGCCCAGUGCUACAAUAAUAACGAGGCUCAUCAGCUUUUCUAUGAACAUCCUUCUUCACUUCAUAUUGAACCUCCCACUGUAAAUACGCAUCCACUUGUGGCCUGAGCGCGCCUCACUUGUCCCGUGGGUGCCAGUGUUUACAAGCCAGCCAGCCACCGCGGUCCCAUCCAAGAAUACAAUCGGAACAUUUCAUAUUAUCACAGCGUUUUUGGUGAUUUCACCUGCAAAAUAAGUCACCAUGGGCCCCAAGAAAGCUUCUAGUGCCAGCCCUACAGCAAAAAGGGUGAGAAUUACUAUGGAUAUGAAGAAAGAGAUCAUUGCUAAGUAUGAAAGUGGAAUGCGGGUCUCCUAGCUUGCCAGGUUGUACACAAAACCCCAAUCAACCAUUGCUACUAUUGUGACCAAGAAAACAGCAAUCAAGGAAGCUGUUCUUGCCAAAGGUGCAACUAUGUUUUCGAAACAGAUCGCAAGUGAUAGAAGAUGUUGAGAGACUGUUAUUGGUGUGGAUAAAUGAAAAACAGAUAGCAGGAGAUAGCAUCUCUCAAGCGAUCAUAUGUGAAAAGGCUAGGCAGUUGCAUGAGGAUUUAAUUAGAAAAAUGCCAGCAACUAGUGGUGAAGUGAGUGAAUUUAAGGCCAGCAAAGGUUGGUUUGAGAGAUUUAAGAAUCGUAGUGGCAUACAUAGUGUGAUAAGGCAUGGUGAGGCUGCCAGUUCGGACCACAAAGCAGCUGAAAAAUAUGUGAAGUAAUUCAAGGAGUACAUAGAGGCUGAAGGAUUGAAACCUGAACAAGUGUUUAAUUGUGAUGAAACAGGCCUGUUUUGGAAGAAAAUGCCAAGCAGGACCUACAUUACUGAGGAGGAAAAGGCACUCCCAGUACAUAAGUCUAUGAAAGACAGGCUUACUCUGUUGAUGUGUGCCAAUGCUAGUGGUGAUUGCAAAUUGAAGCCUUUAUUGGUGUAUCACUCUGAAACUCCCAGAGCGUUCAGGCAAAAGAAUAUCCUCAAGGCUAAUUUGUGUGUGCUGUGGAGGGCAAACAGUAAGGCAUGGGUCACUAGGGACAUUUUCUAUGACUGGUUACACUAGGCAUUUGCCCCCAAUGUGAAAAAUUACCUAAUUGAAAAUAAAUUGGACCUUAAGUGCCUCCUGGUAUUAGACAAUGCUCCUGGUCAUCCUUCAGACUUGGUAGAGUGACUUUCUGCGGGCAUGAGCUUCAUUAAGAUCAAGUUUCAUGAUGAAAACGACCUUGAAAUUGAGCUCAAAGUAGCAGAAUUGUUCGAUUUUUACCAAUGUUCAGGAGUAAGCAAAUCACACCACAUGUCUAAUGCACGCCAACUGGGAAGUCUAAUAUUCUUUCACUAGUGCACUGAUAUUAUUUAUACCAUUUUUACAAUACUGCAGUAGUCUGCAUAACAGUAAAUUUUGUAUUUUUUGUAUGAAUAAAAAAUCAAAAUAGAAAGCAAUAGUAAUGUAAGAGGGGCCUAGAGACGUGACUAAUGAACAGAGGAUAUGUUAUUUUAGUGCCAGGAAUGUCUACAUUGUUUAUUCUGGACCCUAUUUUGAAAUUGGCAUCUUUUUUAAUUUGCGUGAAAUUCUCCAAAUUGCCAAUUUCUGACCACUUUAUUGGGUAGUUCAAAUUGGUAAAUUGGCAGUUUUUUGUACUCAACUGAUAGAAAAAUUGGAGUUCUAAAGAAAUAGCUAUGAGUUUAGUGAACUGGAACAACGGAAUUGGCCAAAAACAGGGCUCAAAGUCGGCAAAAUUGCCGAUGUGUAUUUGUCGCCGAGACCGCUAACUUUGCAGGAGCGUAAUUUUGUGAACUUUCUACAAAAUUUCUUACUUUUGGUGUCAUUACCAUCGGGAAAAGAUUCUCUAUCAUUUCAUAAAAAAAAAUAAUUUUUUUGUUUUUUCAAAAAAUUUUGCGACAUAGAAUGACAGUUUCAGAAAGGGAUUUGUGACACUCCAAGGGCUAAAUUGAGUAAUUUAUACAGGAAAAGGGGUUACUAGCCCCUUGCUCCCGGCAUGUUAGUCGCAAUACAUUAUCUGUUAACACAUUUUGCAAAAUUGCAACAUAUUUUUGGUGUACAUGCCAUAAAUAUUGGUUUACCUGGAGUACAUAUAAGGAAAAAUGUGGUAUUAACUGCUGUCUUUCUUCUCCAUCUCAUAAUGAGCCUCAGGGAUAGUGAUAAUGGCACCCGGGAGGAAUGCAAGUGAUUCUGGAACUGCAAUGAAGAAUAAGUGCAAAAUUCUUAAUGUUUUCAAGAAAAUCGAAAUACUAGAUAAGCUCAGGCAUGGUGAACAUGAGAUGGAAAUGGCGUUAGCUUAUGUCCUGAAUGAGACAUCACUUCAUACAAUUAAGAAGAAUGAGGCAAAGAUGAACUUGUGCAAUGAGUAACCCAGGUUGUGACCUGAAACGAAUGAACAACUAAGUAAGAUAGAAAGGUUGUUGAGUGAGUGGAUUGAACAAAAAACCAAGAAAGGUGCACCACUUAAUUUUGUCUUAAUAGGGGGAAAAGCCUUGUAGUUCUAUAAAAAUGUGUGUUGAGGAAGGAAAGUGCUUGUUUAGUACAGGGUGGUUCCACUAGUUCAUAUUGUGCAGUUGGUUGCAUAAUAUUAAGUUUUAGGGCAAAACUGCUGCAGGUAAUUUCCCUGUUGAGUUGUAGGAAAUUAUUUCUGAGAGUCAUUACGAGCCAUGACAAGUGUUUAAUGCUGAUGAGACACGUCAGCAAGAGAAAACUGCAAGGCAUUCCAGGAUUUAAGGCAGCAAACGAUUGCUUCAGCUUGCUCCUUUGAGGUAAUGCAUCAGGUGAAUUUAAGUGUAAGCAUAUGGUAAUAUAUCACUGAAAGACUCCCUGUGCUUUGAAAGGCAAAAAUAAAACCACCUUACAGGUUCUUUGAAGAUCAAACCAGUCAGCAUGGAUGACAGAGUAAUUAUUUAUUGACUGGUUUAAGCAUCACUUUAUUCCCAAAGUCAUGUUUUACCCAAGCAGCAAGAACCUUGCGUUUAAGGUUGUUUUCACUCUUGAUAAUUCCCGUACUCAUCCAGAAGCUUUGAUGGAUGUGCACCCACAUGUAAGAAUUGUGUUUUUACUACCAAAUACAUCCUUAAUACAGCCACUGGAUCGUUGAAUUUUUUUAGGAUAUUCAGUUGUAAAUACACGCAAAAAGUGAUGUGGAUACUUGUAGCAGCAAUGGAUACUGACUCUGAGCUAGGAGUGCCAGACUUCUGGAAUAAAUUUAACUUUGAAAAUGUCAUCAGCUAUGUUAGAAGUGCAUGAAAUGCAGUGCCCCAGUCAACAUUCAGUGCAAGCUGGGGAAAGUUUUGGUCUUGUGUGGUAAAUACUUUCACAGGUUUUCCUUCAGUUAAGAACCAGGUGCAGGAAAUUAUUCAGCUGGCUAGGAGAUUACUAUGUGAAGGCUUUGAAAAUAUGCAGUAAGAUGCAAAUGAACUGUUAGAAGAUGAUGAUGGAAAGAAAAGUCCAGAGAAAAUGUUGGCAGACCUCAUUGCCCAAAUACAGAGGAGUCAGAAGAAAGAACCUGAAGAAAAAGGGUUAACAUUAGAAUACCUACAUGAGCAGUUCCAUAUUGCUGCUAAACUAGAAGACUUUAACUUAAGAUGACCCUGACAAGUCUAGGAGCACUGUUCUAAAACUGGGUCUAGAGCAGCUAAUGAUGCCUUACUGUCAGCUAUAUAAAAGUACUGCAGAGUUAAAAAAGACCAGAGAUGCUUUACAGAAUUUCUCAGUACUCCAGUACAACCAUAAACAUCAGUUCAAGAGCUUCAAACAUACACUUCAUCUAACAAUCUCCAACCUUCCACCUCAGCCCAGUAGGGCCACACUAUCCAACACCAUACUUAUCAAAAUCAUUGGCAUGCACCAGCAACCUGAAUUUAAGGCAAUAAGUAAUAUUUAUGUAAUCUUUGAAGCUAUAAGUUUUUUUUUUUUUUUAUUAUUUUUUUUAUUUACAAGUUGGCUGUUUCCCACCGAAGCAGGGUGACCCAAAAAGAAAGAAAAUAUUAUUUUUUUUUUAUUUACAAGUUGGCUGUUUCCCACCGAAGCAGGGUGACCCAAAAAGAAAGAAAAUCCCUAAAAAGAGAAAACUUUCAUCAUCAUUCAACACUUUCACCUCACUCACACAUAAUCACUGUUUUUGCAGAGGUGCUUAGAAUACAACAGAUUAGAAGCAUAUAUGUAUAAACAUACACUACAUAUCCCUCCAAACUGCCAAUAUCCCAAACCCCUCCUUUAACCCUUUGAGGGUCGACAGGCCCUCUCCGAAACUCGUUCUCAGGGUCGGCCAAAUUUAAAAAAAAAAAAAAAUUAUUUUCUCUUAUGAAAAGAUAGAGAAUCUUUUCCCGAUCAUAAAGACACCAAAAGUUUGAAAUUUGAUAGAAAACUUACGGAAUUAUGCUCUCGCAAAGUUAGCGGUCUCGGCGAUGUUUACGCAUCGGCGAUUUUGCCUACUUUGAGCCCCAUUUUCGGCCAAUUUCACUGUUCUAGUCGACAAAAAACAUG